GUAUCUCGCCCUGUGGUGGAUUCGAAAUGCAUAGAUAUCACGCAGAACUCCGAUUGCGAAGGCAGUUACCUGCGCUCAACUGACGCUCAGGCACGAAAGCGUGGGUAUCGAACAGGCUUAGAUACCCUGGUAGUCCACGCAGUAAACGAUGAAUGCUCACUGUCCGGGCCGUUUAAGGCCUGGGUGGUCAAGCGAAAGCGUUAAGCAUUCCACCUGGGGAGUACGCCGGCAACGGUGAAACUCAAAGGAAUUGACGGGGGCCCGCACAAGCGGAGGAACAUGUGGUUUAAUUCGAUGAUACGCGAGGAACCUUACCCGGGCUCAAACGGAAGGGGACAGUAUGAGAAAUCAUACAUUCCUUCGGGACCGCUUCCGAGGUGCUGCAUGGUUGUCGUCAGCUCGUGCCGUGAGGUGUCGGCUUAAGUGCCAUAACGAGCGCAACCCCUAUCGACAGUUGCUAGCAGGUAAAGCUGAGGACUCUGUCGAGACUGCCGGCGCAAGCUGUGAGGAAGGCGGGGAUGACGUCAAAUCAGCACGGCCCUUACGUCCGGGGCGACACACGUGUUACAAUGGCAGGUACAGCGGGAAGCCACCCGGCGACGGGGCGCAGAACCCGAAAACCUGUCUCAGUUCGGAUUGGAGUCUGCAACCCGACUCCAUGAAGCUGGAUUCGCUAGUAAUCGCGCAUCAGCCACGGCGCGGUGAAUACGUUCCCGGGCCUUGUACACACCGCCCGUCAAGCCAUGGAAAGCCGGGGGUGCCUGAAGUGCGUGACCGCAAGGGACGCCCUAGGGUAAAACCGGGU
rnacentral:rRNA from 1 species